CCUACGGGAGGCAGCAGUGAGGAAUAUUGGUCAAUGGACGCAAGUCUGAACCAGCCAUGCCGCGUGCAGGAAGACGGCUCUAUGAGUUGUAAACUGCUUUUAUAUGGGAAUAAACUGUUCCACGUGUGGGAUUUUGUAUGUACCAUAUGAAUAAGGAUCGGCUAACUCCGUGCCAGCAGCCGCGGUAAUACGGAGGAUCCGAGCGUUAUCCGGAUUUAUUGGGUUUAAAGGGAGCGUAGGUGGAUUGUUAAGUCAGUUGUGAAAGUUUGCGGCUCAACCGUAAAAUUGCAGUUGAAACUGGCAGUCUUGAGUACAGUAGAGGUGGGCGGAAUUCGUGGUGUAGCGGUGAAAUGCUGAGAUAUCACGAAGAACUCCGAUUGCGAAGGCAGCUCACUGGACUGCAACUGACACUGAGGCUCGAAAGUGUGGGUAGCAAACAGGAUUAGAUACCCCAGUAGUC
rnacentral:rRNA from 1 species